rnacentral:lncRNA from 1 species
GCCAGUAGCCUGGCUAUUCUAUGACCUCACGACCCUGAUUUAUUCCUUAACAACUACCAAGUUAUUGAGUUGCUGGGAAGAGUCUAGAAGGGGGUUGGGGCUCCCCUAUUUGCAAACUCUCAGGGGUCACAGGGGCUUGCUAGCCCAACCCAGGUGGAGGUGUGGGCUUCAUUCUUGGUAGCAAUUAUAUAUUGAAGGGAGAAAGACAAAGAAAAAAAGUUGCUAUCAAAUCAGAUCCAUGAGCUUGAUGGGUGGGGUUUGAUGAAGAUAUUCAAUUUAAGACUCAGUGCUCCAUAAUUUUUCACCCUUUGCAUAUUGUCCAGUUGUGGGUGUCUGGGCCAGUUACCAUCAACUGCAAGAGGAAACGUCUAUGACUCCGUGAGAGGCCAUGGAAGGCCAUUGGUGAAAGUGCAGCCUCAGGUGCAUUUGACGGCCCAGGACUGAAGGGGUCAUGCAGUGUUUUGGAGAUGCCAGUACCAUGAGAUGACCACCAAGAGUAGCAGCAGCAGUGGAGGACAGGCAUCUGGAGCCUAGAGGAUGACAAAUGUGCUACAAAGAGCAUGGCUGGAGAAAUGACCCAAGCCCUUGGAGGAGCCCAGAAGAUCGUGGGUUGGAUCCUAGACAUUGGACAGUUGGAGUUUAAUCUUUGCUUCUGAUUGUGACUGUGCCCUGAUAUUUUUCCCUCUUGAAGGAAGAAAAUAUUUUAGUGGACCCCACAGUUAAGAGACUUUUAAUUAUAAAAAGACUUUGGAUUUUAAAAGACAUUUUAUAUUUUUAAAGGAUUGAACUUUUAAUAUGUAAAGACUGUGGGACUUUUAAUGUUAUUUAAGAUCUUGGGGAUGAAUAAGAAUGUAAGGGUUGAGGCUUACUAGUGAUUUGUUUGUGUGUCAGGUUGACAAGGGGUCAAUUGUACUGGCUAGUUUUGUAUCAACUUGACACAGCUGGAGUUAUCA